rnacentral:rRNA from 1 species
AGCGGCCGCGGUAAUUCCAGCUCCAAUAGCGUAUAUUAAAGUUGUUGCAGUUAAAAAGCUCGUAGUUGAAUUUCGGGAUCAGCGCGUCGGUCGUGCCUCCGGUAUGCACUGGCGUCGCUGGUUUCUCCCUUCUGAGGAACCGUGAUGUCAUUAAUUUGGUGUCGCAGGAAAUCAGGACUGUUACUUUGAAAAAAUUAGAGUGUUUAAAGCGGGCACGCGCUUGAAUACAUUAGCAUGGAAUAACGAAAUAGGACGUUCGAUCUUAUUUUGUUGGUUUCUAGGAUUGACGUAAUGAUUAAUAGGGAUAGUUGGGGGCAUUAGUAUUCAAUUGUCAGAGGUGAAAUUCUUGGAUUUAU